GAUAAACGCUAGCGGCAGGCUUAACACAUGCAAGUCGAGGGGCAGCAUAGAUUGUAGCAAUACAAUUGGUGGCGACCGGCGCACGGGUGCGUAACGAGUAUGCAACCUACACGUCACAGGGGGAUAAUCAGGAGAAAUCUGGUCUAAUAUACCAUAAUAUAAGGAUCGGCAUCGGUUGCUGUUGAAAUUUUAGGAGGCGACUGAUGGGGAUGCGUUGCAUUAGCUUGUUGGUGAGGUAACGGCUCACCAAGGCGACGAUGCUUAGGGGGACUGAGAGGUUUUCCCCCCACACUGGUACUUAGACACGGACCAGACUCCUACGGGAGGCAGCAGUGAUGAAUAUUGGUCAAUGGGCUCAAGCCUGAACCAGCCAUGCCGCGUGCAGGAUGACGGCUCUAUGAGUUGUAAACUGCUUUUGUACGAGGGUAAAGUGGGUUACGUGUAACCUUUUGAAAUUAUCGUACGAAUAAGGAUCGGCUAACUCCGUGCCAGCCGCCGCAGUAA
rnacentral:rRNA from 1 species